GGAAAACUUACCAGGUCCAGACAUAGUGAGGAUUGACAGAUUGAGAGCUCUUUCUUGAUUCUAUGGGAGGUGGUGCAUGUCCGUUCUUAGUUGGUGGAGUGAUUUGUCUGGUUAAUUCCAUUAACGAGCGAGACCCCCGCCUGCUAAAUAGGUCCGUGAAUGAAUUUCAUUGACGAGAUCUUCUUAGAGGGACUUUUGGUGACUAACCAAAGGAAUUUGGGGGCAAUAA
rnacentral:rRNA from 1 species